UGACCUCAGGCUAGAGAUGGCGACCCUCUGAAUUUAAGUAUACUAGUCAACGGAGGAAAAUAAACUAACCAGGAUUCCCUUAGUAAAGGUGAGUGAACAAGGAGCCUAGUGCCAAAUCGCUGUCCCUUGGUGGGGUGCGGGAAAUGAAGUGUGUGAAAGACUCGCUUCCCAGCGCCCCUUGUGGGGGCCUAGGUUCUUCUGAUUGAGGCCCAGCCAACCUGUGGACGAUGUGAGGUGGCGGCCCCAGCAGGUGCGGAGGUGGGUGGGUUGGACAGGCGGGGGAGUCGUUGGGAACUGUCCCCCAGAUGGCGACUGGCCACCGCCAGGUGCAUUUCCACUGUGGUUCUGCGCCCUGACUGGCUCUGGGACGUCUGGGAAGGCCCGGAAGGGAAGGUGGCUCGGGGGAUCAUGUCCUCCCUGUCCCUCGGGAGGGAGUGGGGUGGGCCACCCCCCGAGUGUUACAGUCCCCCAGCAGUAGCAUUCGCCGAAUCCCAGGACUGAGGUGGUGAGACCUGUUGCCGUGCUCUCCCCUUCCCUGCACCCACUCCAGUGGGAGCCCCCCAUGAGGGGAUCCCCCGUGGGGUCGUGACAGCGUCACUCUAGGGGGCUGGGCCACCCGUCCCACUGUGUAACUACUCCACCACGCCCUUUCUACCCCCAGUGAAGAGGCUGCAUGGGAGGGGCUGGGGCUGACUGUGGUGUGCCCCAGGAAGGUUGUGCUGUCGGGCCUGGGGCGGUCUCUUCGACCAUGCACUCAUCCCAAAAGAACAGUGGAACAAGUGCAUGAGAUCGGUGGUGGUGCUGUCGGCUACCUACAUGAUCCAUCUUGAAACACGAACCAAGGAGUGUAACACGUGUGCGAGUCAGGGGCUCCCACGAAAGCCGCCGUGGCACAAUGAAGGUGAAGACUGGUGGGCUCACAGGCCGAGGUGGGAUCCUGAGGCCUCUCCAGUCCGCCGAGGGCGCACCACCGGCCCGUCUCGCCCGCCGCGCCGGGGAGGUGGAGCACGAGCGCACGUGUUAGGACCCGAAAGAUGGUGAACUAUGCCUGGGCAGGGCAAAGCCAGAGAAAACUCUGGUGGGCGUCUGUAGCAGUCCUGACGUGCAAAUCAGUCGUCUGAUCUGUGUAUAGGGGCAAAAGACUAAUGGAACCUUCUAGUAGGUAGUACCCUGUGAAGUUUUCCUAAGGAUAGCUGAGGCUCUGGCAAAAACCCCAUGCCACGCAGUUAUCCAGUAAAGCGAAUGAUUAGAGGUCUUGGGACCGAAACGAUCUCAACUUAUUCUCAAACUUUAAAUGAGCAAGAAGCCCGGCUCACUGGGGUGUAGCCAGGUAUGGUAUGCGAGUGCCUAGUGGGCCACGUUUGGUAAGCAGAACUAAUGCUGUGGGAUUAAUCAAAUGCCAGGUUAAGGUGCCUGAUACUGAUGCUCAUCAGAUCACAGAAAAGGUGUUGGUUCAUAUAGACAGCAUGGGGGCCAUAGAAGGUGGAAUCCACUAAGGACUGUUUAACAACUCACCUGUGGAAUCAACUAGCCCUGAAAAUAGAUGGUGCUGAAGCAUUGGGCCCACACCCAGCUGUUGCCAGCAGUUCAGAGUGGACAAGAGUGGUGAGGGCGGUAACCCCCCACCAGAGCCCUGAGGAUGGUAUGCUGCCAUGAGUAGGAGGGCCGCUAUGGUGAGCCUUGAAGCCUAGGGCAUGAGCCUGGGUGGAGCUGCCACAGGUGCAGAUGGGCGAGUGCCAUUCCAAAGGAAUGGGAGAUGACUUCCAUUGCCCUCAGCCUAUUAAAAU
rnacentral:ncRNA from 1 species